rnacentral:rRNA from 1 species
GAUGAACGCUAGCGGCAGGCCUAAUACAUGCAAGUCGAACGGGAUCUGAGGGUAGCUUGCUACCCGAUUUGAGAGUGGCGCACGGGUGCGUAACGCGUGAGCAACCUACCCAUAUCAGGGGGAUAGCCCGAAGAAAUUCGGAUUAACACCGCAUAAUAAUACGCUAACACAUGUUGAUGUAUUUAAAUAUUUAUAGGAUAUGGAUGGGCUCGCGUGACAUUAGCUAGUUGGUAAGGUAACGGCUUACCGAGGCGACGAUGUCUAGGGGCUCUGAGAGGAGAAGCCCCCACACUGGUACUGAGACACGGACCAGACUCCUACGGGAGGCAGCAGUAAGGAAUAUUGGUCAAUGGGCUCAAGCCUGAACCAGCCAUGCCGCGUGCAGGAUGACUGCCCUAUGGGUUGUAAACUGCUUUUGUUAGGGAAUAAACCUUCUUACGUGUAAGGAGCUGAAUGUACCUAAAGAAUAAGGAUCGGCUAACUCCGUGCCAGCCGCCGCCGUAA